GUAACUCAGCCGGCAGGCUUAACACAUGCAAGUCGAGGGGUAACGGGGUGCUUGCACCGCCGACGACCGGCGCACGGGUGAGUAACGCGUAUACAAUCUGCCUUGUACUGAGGGAUAGCCCAGAGAAAUUUGGAUUAAUACCUCAUAGUAUAUGGCUCUCUCAUGAGGAUCAUAUUAAAGGUUACGGUACAAGAUGAGUAUGCGUUCUAUUAGCUAGAUGGUAAGGUAACGGCUUACCAUGGCUACGAUAGAUAGGGGCCCUGAGAGGGGGAUCCCCCACACUGGUACUGAGACACGGACCAGACUCCUACGGGAGGCAGCAGUGAGGAAUAUUGGACAAUGGGCGAGAGCCUGAUCCAGCCAUGCCGCGUGCAGGAUGACGGCCCUAUGGGUUGUAAACUGCUUUUAUACAGGAAGAAACACCCCGACGUGUCGGGACUUGACGGUACUGUAAGAAUAAGGAUCGGCUAACUCCGUGCCAGCAGCCGCGGUAAUACGGAGGAUCCAAGCGUUAUCCGGAAUCAUUGGGUUUAAAGGGUCCGUAGGUGGACAAUUAAGUCAGAGGUGAAAUCCUGCAGCUCAACUGUAGAAUUGCCUUUGAUACUGGUUGUCUUGAGUUAUUAUGAAGUAGUUAGAAUAUGUAGUGUAGCGGUGAAAUGCAUAGAUAUUACAUAGAAUACCAUUGGCGAAGGCAGAUUACUAUUAUUCAACUGACACUGAUGGACGAAAGCGUGGGAGCGAACAGGAAUAGAUACCUGGUAGUCACGCCGUAACGAUGGUACUGUGUCGAUUCGGUGAGGACUAGCGAAGUAUAGACCCC
rnacentral:rRNA from 1 species